GACGAACGCUGGCGGCGUGCUUAACACAUGCAAGUCGAACGGAAAGGCCCUGCUUUUGUGUGGUUCUCGAGUGGCGAACGGGUGAGUAACACGUGAGUAACCUGCCCUUGACUUUGUGAUAACUUCAGGCAACUGCUGCUAAUACCGGCUAGGAGCUCCUGCUGCAUGGUGGGGGUUGGACAGUUUCGGCGGUUGUGGAUGGACUCGCGGCUUAUCAGCUUGUUGGUGGGGGAGUGGCUUACCAGGGCUUUGACGGGUGGCCGGCCUGAGAGGUUGACCGGGGACAUUGGUACUGAGGUACGGCGCAGACUCGAACGGGAGGCAGCAGUGGGGAAUAUGGCACAAUGGGCGGAAGCCUGAUGCAGCAACGCCGCGUGCGGGAUGACGUCCUUCUGGUUGGAAACCGCUUUCGCCUGUGACGAAGCGUGAUUGACGGUAAUGGGUAAAGAAGCACCGGCUAACUACGUG
rnacentral:rRNA from 1 species